GUGACUCGCAUGCGUGUAUUAUUGGAAAAUAAUACAUGGUUUUAAACCAAUCAGAACUGACGUUGCAUAGCAAGCAUGGUAGAAUAUAUUUUAAACAAGAUGAACUCAACGACAGCAUGCACACACAGUGAAAGCUUGGAGGUUUAUGUCAAGAUCUUUGAUGAAUUUUAAGGACUGAACGAGAACCUGUAUAUACUGCAAAAGGAUGGAUUCCAACCUACGGGUAAAGUAGGGGUAGAAAUUGCGACAAUUCAAACUUUAGAGCAAAAACGUAAGCUGAUGAAGUCAAAAGAUCAAUUAUGGGGAAGUAUAGAAACAGCAGUUCAAUAUAAUGUGUUUAUUGAAAAUGACCUGAUCGGCUGAACCAGAGACUUGUAUAUCAAAUACAUACAUGUACAUUGUACGUCUCUGGCUGAACGAGAUGGACAGAAUAAUAUCAGAUUUAUUAUAAGGGAACUGGGUAGAACGUCAGAAUAUCCGACGACCGCCAGUUUUGUUCCCACUAUUGAGCAGUAGACAUUCAUGCGUAACUACCACAGUUCGGCAGGCAGAGGUCUCUGGAAAGGUAAAAGUUCGGCAUCUACAACGCGCGUGGAUCGACAGGAAUGAGACCAAGGUCAAGGCCAGCUGGUGCACAGUCGAGAAGUAAACAAACAACAUGGAUGCCACAUGUGAGACUGUGACACUGAAAAAAGUCAAGUAAACGCUUGUUUUAGACUAGUCAUCGGACAGUCAUGAAGGGCAUUGUAUAUGCAGGUAGGAAAAGCUUCAAAAGCUGCCUGUUCAGUUAUGAAUUCAUUAUGCAUGCGGUUCACCAGUACCGAAGGUGGUUCCCCAAUGCUAACACUGAAUUAAUUUGCUGAAUAUCAGACUCCAGUUGCUGCUGUUGCUGUGCCACCUCAUCAUGAUUGAAUUGACUGAAUACCAGUUUAUGACGCAGAGUCUGAAAUUCGGCAAACUUUGACAGUGAUACAGGUGUAUUGACAACAUGACAAAGCCUAUCCUGAUUAACCAAUACAGAGGGAUGCCAGGCAAAAUCUGGAUCUUCGUUUACUGAGCCAGCAGUUUUAGCUCUGGAAAGAGCAACAAAAAGUGCACCAGGAUUGCGCGAUUCAAAACUUUUUGUACCUGGGCUUAUUACUAUAUAUCUACUGGACUCAUUUUCACCUAUUGUCAUGCCUUGACAACGAUGAAUUGUAGUACCCCAGCCUAGGCGUAAUGGAAUUUGAGUAAUUUUGCAGUUGUGACAAGGACAUUCAAGCCCACGUUUUAUUGAUGUUAUUGGUACACAUUUAGGAAUGUCAUGUAUAAAAGGUGGACCUGUGUAUUUGUCAAACUGAACCAUUACAACAAGUGGUAGUGAUGUUUUGGGGGUUUCGUUUUCAGGGUAUAUGAUGUCAAUAACUGUGCCAACAGAACCAUUGAAAAGACCAUACUUAACACAAAGGUUUGAUGUCAGCAUCACUUUUGCAUCUUUGCAAAGAUAAACUAUACUUAACAGCCCUCCAGCUUUGUCUGAGGUACAGGUAUUGGCAUGAAUACCCUCUUUUAAUGCUACUAUUUUGACAAUGGGGUAAACUUCGUUAAUUUCAAGGAUUUUGUUUGUGCUAUGCUUCCACUCCUCAUUAUGUGUGGGAAAUACAUAGAGGCCAUUUUGUG